AUUGACAUGAAUAUGCAAAUGAAGCCAAAACUGGCUUUUUCCACAGUGGGGAAGGGAAAUCAGUUGACUCUCCACUCUCCAGGAUAGAAUUUGCCCCUCUGUAAAGAAAAAUGAUGUUGUAUUUCUAUCAGUUAUCAGUCAUGGAAAGAGCUAUAAAAUAACCCUCUUAGAAUCAGAAUCAGAUAAUCCAGAAGCUGGGUUCCAGAUGUUUUCCACUGAAGCACAGCUUUCCCCCGCAC
rnacentral:lncRNA from 1 species